rnacentral:rRNA from 1 species
CGCCUGCCCGGUGCUGGAAGGUUAAGAGGAGUGCUUAGCUUCGGCGAAGGUACGAAUUGAAGCCCCAGUAAACGGCGGCCGUAACUAUAACGGUCCUAAGGUAGCGAAAUUCCUUGUCGGGUAAGUUCCGACCCGCACGAAAGGCGCAACGAUCUGGGCACUGUCUCAACGAGAGACUCGGUGAAAUUAUAGUACCUGUGAAGAUGCAGGUUACCCGCGACAGGACGGAAAGACCCCGUGGAGCUUUACUGCAACCUGAUAUGGAAUGUUUGUACCGCUUGUACAGGAUAGGUAGGAGCCGAAGAGACGUGUGCGCUAGCAUACGAGGAGGCAAUGGUGGGAUACUACCCUGGCUGUAUGACCAUUCUAACCCGCCACGCUUAGCGCGUGGGGAGACAGUGUCAGGUGGGCAGUUUGACUGGGGCGGUCGCCUCCUAAAGAGUAACGGAGGCGCCCAAAGGUUCCCUCAGAAUGGAUGGAAAUCAUUCGCAGAGUGUAA